CAGCUUUGGGACUCAGACUGGCUUCCU
rnacentral:piRNA from 1 species